CCCAGUUUAUAUAUUUAUAUACUCGGAAUAUUGAUUUCUCGGUAUUUUCAAAAUUAUUUUAAAGUAUAACAACCAGCGAAGUAAGCCACUAACUACCCUGCGCGGCUGCGCGCAGAUUAUAUAAUGACAUAUAUAUGUCAUCCGUCCGGUCCGUCCGUCAUUCAUCCGUCCAUCCGUAUCCGCGUUUUAUCCUACCCGUUUUUAAAACACAAAGUUUGCAUAAUUAAGGCAGUGCGGCAUGAUCAACAUUUUCAAAAGCGGCCAAUUAGACCAGGGGUUAAAGGUCAAUGACAAUGACAUGCAAGUGACAUUUAACAUUGCGUCUCACUAAUUAAAGUUUGCGUGUUUAAUAAUGUUUAUCAAAGAAAGCAAAAAUAUAUACAAGACAAUCUCACAUGUGGAAUUUGUUCACUUACGUACUGCCUUGUGAUGCAGUACAAGUAUAAAUACAAAUGACAAAGCAUUUGUAAAUCCUAAAACAUAAUUAAAUCAUACGGCACAUUCAAGAUUUUAUUAAAUACCGUAUUUCAGCCGCGUUUAUACUGCUUGGCGCAUUCGCUGCGUUAUAUUCAUUUAUAUACACAGAAAAGCAUCAAGCAUGUCAUUGUCCUU